rnacentral:rRNA from 1 species
CAAUAGCGUAUAUUAAAGCUGUUGCGGUUAAAAAGCUCGUAGUUGGAUUUCUGUCAAGGACAACUGGUCCGCCCCUCGGGUGAGCACAUAGUUUGGUCUUGGCAUCUUGUUGGAAACUGUUGCUGCACUUGGUUGUGUGGCGCAGUGUCCAGCACUUUCACUUUGAGGAAAUCGGAGUGUUUCAAGCAGGCACAUGCCUUUGGACACAGUAGCAUGGAAUAAUUAGAUUGGGCUUUUGCUCCAACUUGUCGGUUUCUGGAGCUGAGGUGAGAAUUAAUGGGGAUUGUUGGGGGCAUCCGAAUUUAGCCGUCAGAGGUGAAAUUCUUGGAUCUGCUAAAGACGGACAACUGCGAAAGCGUUUGCCCAGGAUGUUUUCAUUGA